GACGAACGCUGGCGGCGUGCGUAACACAUGCGCGUCGAACGGAAAGGCCCUGCUUUUGUGGGGUGCUCGAGUGGCGAACGGGUGAGUAACACGUGAGUAACCUGCCCUUGACUUUGGGAUAACUUCAGGAAACUGGGGCUAAUACCGGAUAGGAGCUCCUGCUGCAUGGUGGGGGUUGGAAAGUUUCGGCGGUUGGGGAUGGACUCGCGGCUUAUCAGCUUGUUGGUGGGGUAGUGGCUUACCAAGGCUUUGACGGGUAGCCGGCCUGAGAGGGUGACCGGCCACAUUGGGACUGAGAUACGGCCCAGACUCCUACGGGAGGCAGCAGUGGGGAAUAUUGCACAAUGGGCGGAAGCCUGAUGCAGCAACGCCGCGUGCGGGAUGACGGCCUUCGGGUUGUAAACCGCUUUCGCCUGUGACGAAGCGUGAGUGACGGUAAUGGGUAAAGAAGCACCGGCUAACUACGUG
rnacentral:rRNA from 1 species